rnacentral:rRNA from 1 species
AUCAGGAAUCUUGCGCAAUGGGGGCAACCCUGACGCAGCGACGUCGCGUGGAGGAAGAAUGUCUUCGGAUUGUAAACUCCUUUUAGUGGGGAAGAGCAAGGACGGUACCCACUGAAUAAGCCCCGGCUAACUCCGUGCCAGCAGCCGCGGUAAUACGGAGGGGGCGAGCGUUGUCCGAAUUUAUUGGGCGUAAAGCGCGUGUAGGCGGACCAUCAAGCCUGAGGUGAAAGGUUGGGGCUCAACCCCAUACAGUGCCUUGGGGACUGUUGGUCUGGAGGCAGGCAGAGGUAUGUGGAAUUCCUGGUGUAGCGGUGGAAUGCGUAGAGAUCAGGAAGAACACCCAUGGCGAAGGCAGCAUACUGGGCCUGUACUGACGCUGAGACGCGAAAGCGUGGGGAGCAAACG